rnacentral:lncRNA from 1 species
AUUUUAACCAUAGCUGAUUAUAAUAGGCAGCCAAAGUUUAAAACCACCGAGUUACUUCUUAGCACAAUUGUUUGGCCUGCAAUUUUAUUAGGAACUCAGGUUUUUGGUUUAUUAUGAUUUCAAGCAUCAGGACUAAGGUAUAAUUACCAGGGUAUUAAGGCAUUGUAGAUACAUAGCUUUACCACACAAAUGCCAGAAUACUGGAAAGGAUAAUCACAUCUCUCAGUUUGAAAAGUCCUGUUUUCAAGCUGCUAUUACAUCCAUCUUCAGAAUUUAUUGCCUAGGGUUUGCAGAUGGUGGAGUGCUACUUAGAAGAGACACCCUGUUGGGAAAACCACAUUGCGGUGCAAUUAAUAACCAGGGAGUUUCCUUUCCACAUCCUCUUAAUUCUUGACAUCAGAACUCCAUGAUGACUGUCAGGGGUUUAAUGGUGACCUGAGGUCCUGACCUUCUCAACAGAAUAAGAAGGAAAAUUCAGAGGGAAAAAAGUUGAAAUAUGGAUUGACAGAGAGUCUCAAAUUUGUGUUGGAUAAGCCCCGUAUGAGGACCAUGUGAAAUCUCUGGGCUCAGCAUACGGAGAUUCUGAUUCAGCAUGUCUGCACUGCGAGGCAGACCAGUCUACGUCUUUAACAGGCACUUCCACUCCCCGAUCCCUAGGAUUCUGCUGCAAGGACAUCACGCAUCACACUGAGAGAAGC